rnacentral:rRNA from 1 species
AUUGAACGCUGGCGGCAUGAUUUACACAUGCAAGUCGAACGGUAACAGGCCGCAAGGUGCUGACGAGUGGCGAACGGGUGCGUAAUGCAUCGGAACGUGCCCAGUCGUGGGGGAUAACUACUCGAAAGAGUAGCUAAUACCGCAUACGAUCUAUGGAUGAAAGCGGGGGACCGUAAGGCUUCGCGCGAUUGGAGCGGCCGAUGUCAGAUUAGGUAGUUGGUGGGGUAAAGGUUCACCAAGCAAACGAUCUGUAGCGGGUUUGAGAGGACGACCAGCCACACUGGGACUGAGACACGGCCCAGACUCCUACGGGAGGCAGCAGUGGGGAAUUUUGGACAAUGGGCGCAAGCCUGAUCCAGCAAUGCCGCGUGCAGGAAGAAGGCCUUCGGGUUGUAAACUGCUUUUGUACGGAACGAAACGGCUCUGGUUAAUACCCGGGGCUAAUGACGGUACCGUAAGAAUAAGCACCGGCUAACUACGUG